ensembl:snRNA Gm25205 U6 spliceosomal RNA
UAACUUGGGCAGCAAAUAUAAUAAAAUUGGAUCAAUUAGGAGAACAUUAGCAUGGUUCCUGGGCAAGGAUGACAUGCAAACUUGUGAAGCAUUCCAUAUUCUA